AACGCUAAUUUCAUUUCACUCAUGAAGUAUUUUAACAAUAAAAAAAAUAAGUCGAGUUCACGUUUAUCUAUGACGAUUAUGUGAAGAAUAAGAUUAUGUAAAAUCUCUGAAUCUCAUAAUAAUAUCAUAAUAAUAUCAAGAGAUGAUAUAUGCAGAUUUUCAUAAUCUUCGACUAUCUCCUAAUAUAAAAUGUUUGUAAUCUUUCUUUUAGAAAUUAAUUUCCAAAUAUCUCGAAGCAAAAUCCCUUUUCUAUUAAUAAAAGAAAGCUAGAAUUUCCCGCCCGACUCUGUAGGAUCGAUUGGAAAGAACAGAAGACGUAGAAUGAAUAUUGCCAAAGAAAAGGCUUAAUUGUAAGGUUCUACUGUAAAAGAGAAGGAAAGAGAAAGAGACGAUUCUAAGUCAAGUCGACUCGGUAGAUAGCUGUGUACGAUAACAGGAUUCCGAGAGGACAAGGAAGGAGAUCGCCGAGAAAGAGAGAUACAACCAGUCUUUCUCGAAGUUGUCGGACCGGACGGCGAAUAUCCCCGAAGGUGACUCUCUGCAAUCGGGCCAACGAGGAAGGAUGGAAGGAGGGUAGAACGAACUAAAAAGAAGGAGAGACGUAUCGUCUGGCUUGCAUUUCUAUAUAUAUACCCAUCUUCCCUCAUAACUUUGCUCUCGCGCACUGAAGGGUUUCCUGGAAAGAUGGCAAGGGAAGGAGCAAAAGGGGAAACGAGGGGUAUGGCAGAGUCGUUAUCGAAAAGGAAGGAUGCCACGCAGAAGGAACGUGGUAAAGGAAGAGAAGGGAUGAAGGUGGAACGGAGAUAAGAGGGGAAAAAGUUUUUCCGAAGGAACAGAAAGCAAUAUGGACUUGUUAAUGGAUGGAUAUUCGUCCCGAACGAAUUCUCGUCCCGUUCUCGUUUAUCAUCUUCCGUUCACAAGCGCAAGCGGAUCGUUAAAAGGCAAAGGUCUCGGGAAAGAUAAAUAUCCGAGAAGUGAAACGCGUGCUUUAACUAUUAUCGCACGAUAUGCAAUUAGCG